GGUGUUAUAGCAUAGUGGUUAUGCGGGGUACUGUUAAUACCUUUAACAGAGGUUCGAUUCCUCUUAACGCCU